rnacentral:rRNA from 1 species
CAGUAGCCACGGUAAUACGAAGGGGGCUAGCGUUGUUCGGAAUUACUGGGCGUAAAGGGCGCGUAGGCGGCCAUUCAAGUUAGAUGUGAAAGCCCUGGGCUCAACCUAGGAAUUGCAUUUGAUACUGUUUGGCUUGAGUUCGGGAGAGGUGAGUGGAAUUCCCAGUGUAGAGGUGAAAUUCGUAGAUAUUGGGAAGAACACCAGUGGCGAAGGCGGCUCACUGGACCGACACUGACGCUGAGGCGCGAAAGCGUGGGGAGCAAACGGGAUUAGAUACCCGCGUAGUCCCUGUCUCUUAUAA